AAAUUGAAGAGUUUGAUCAUGGCUCAGAUUGAACGCUGGCGGCAGGCCUAACACAUGCAAGUCGAACGGUAACAGGAAGCAGCUUGCUGCUUUGCUGACGAGUGGCGGACGGGUGAGUAAUGUCUGGGAAACUGCCUGAUGGAGGGGGAUAACUACUGGAAACGGUAGCUAAUACCGCAUAAUGUCGCAAGACCAAAGAGGGGGACCUUCGGGCCUCUUGCCAUCGGAUGUGCCCAGAUGGGAUUAGCUAGUAGGUGGGGUAACGGCUCACCUAGGCGACGAUCCCUAGCUGGUCUGAGAGGAUGACCAGCCACACUGGAACUGAGACACGGUCCAGACUCCUACGGGAGGCAGCAGUGGGGAAUAUUGCACAAUGGGCGCAAGCCUGAUGCAGCCAUGCCGCGUGUAUGAAGAAGGCCUUCGGGUUGUAAAGUACUUUCAGCGGGGAGGAAGGGAGUAAAGUUAAUACCUUUGCUCAUUGACGUUACCCGCAGAAGAAGCACCGGCUAACUCCGUGCCAGCAGCCGCGGUAAUACGGAGGGUGCAAGCGUUAAUCGGAAUUACUGGGCGUAAAGCGCACGCAGGCGGUUUGUUAAGUCAGAUGUGAAAUCCCCGGGCUCAACCUGGGAACUGCAUCUGAUACUGGCAAGCUUGAGUCUCGUAGAGGGGGGUAGAAUUCCAGGUGUAGCGGUGAAAUGCGUAGAGAUCUGGAGGAAUACCGGUGGCGAAGGCGGCCCCCUGGACGAAGACUGACGCUCAGGUGCGAAAGCGUGGGGAGCAAACAGGAUUAGAUACCCUGGUAGUCCACGCCGUAAACGAUGUCGACUUGGAGGUUGUGCCCUUGAGGCGUGGCUUCCGGAGCUAACGCGUUAAGUCGACCGCCUGGGGAGUACGGCCGCAAGGUUAAAACUCAAAUGAAUUGACGGGGGCCCGCACAAGCGGUGGAGCAUGUGGUUUAAUUCGAUGCAACGCGAAGAACCUUACCUGGUCUUGACAUCCACAGAACCUUGUAGAGAUACGAGGGUGCCUUCGGGAACUGUGAGACAGGUGCUGCAUGGCUGUCGUCAGCUCGUGUUGUGAAAUGUUGGGUUAAGUCCCGCAACGAGCGCAACCCUUAUCCUUUGUUGCCAGCGGUCCGGCCGGGAACUCAAAGGAGACUGCCAGUGAUAAACUGGAGGAAGGUGGGGAUGACGUCAAGUCAUCAUGGCCCUUACGACCAGGGCUACACACGUGCUACAAUGGCGCAUACAAAGAGAAGCGACCUCGCGAGAGCAAGCGGACCUCAUAAAGUGCGUCGUAGUCCGGAUUGGAGUCUGCAACUCGACUCCAUGAAGUCGGAAUCGCUAGUAAUCGUGGAUCAGAAUGCCACGGUGAAUACGUUCCCGGGCCUUGUACACACCGCCCGUCACACCAUGGGAGUGGGUUGCAAAAGAAGUAGGUAGCUUAACCUUCGGGAGGGCGCUUACCACUUUGUGAUUCAUGACUGGGGUGAAGUCGUAACAAGGUAACCGUAGGGGAACCUGCGGUUGGAUCACCUCCUUA
rnacentral:rRNA from 1 species